GACGAGCCACACAAACGUUAUUCGGAAUCACUGGGCUUAAAGGGUGCGUAGGCGGCGCGGAAAGUUGGGUGUGAAAUCCCUCGGCUUAACCGAGGAAUUGCGCCCAAAACUACCGUGCUCGAGGAAGACAGAGGUGAGCGGAACUUAGGGUGGAGCGGUGAAAUGCGUUGAUAUCCUAAGGAACACCCGUGGCGAAAGCGGCUCACUGGGUCUUUUCUGACGCUGAGGCACGAAAGCUAGGGGAGCGAACGGG
rnacentral:rRNA from 1 species